AUGGCAUCCUUUGUGGCACGUCGGAGAAAACCCGAGCUCGUGGUGCCGGCGCAAGCAACGCCGCACGAGACUCUGGCUCUCUCCGACGUUGAUGAUGACAUGGACCUGCGAUUUCUGCAGCCUGCCAUCGAGUUCUUUCGUGCUGUCGACCACGGGCCGGGGCAGCCUGCCACUGCUGCAAAGCUAGUCAAGGCGGCCCUUGCGGAGGCGCUGGUGCACUACUACCCGCUAGCAGGCCGUCUCCGGGAGGCUGCUGGGGGAAAGCUAGCUGUCGAGUGCACGGGGGAAGGCGUUGUGUUCGUGGAGGCGGAGGUGGACGUGUCCAUGGAUGAUCUUGGCAAGCCGUCGCCUCUGCCGCCGUACCCAUGCAUCGAAGAACUGUUGUGCGAGGUGGGCGAUCCUAGGGUUGUUGUUGGAGUUCCCUUGUUCUUCAUGCAGGUAACCCAACUGAGAUGUGGAGGAUUUGUGAUUGGUCUUCACAUAAAAUGCAUCGCCGACUUGGCUCGUACAGGGGGUGAUGCCUCCAAAAUUGUAUCGCCGGUGUGGAAUAGGGAGAUCCUGACAGCACGCAUCCCACCGCAAAUAAGCCCGGAAUUUGUGGGAUUCCUCCAAAGGUUAGGCAGCACCGGCAACGAUGUUAUGUUGUCAACACCGCCGGAAGAAAUGGUCAUCCGCUUCUUCAUCUUUGGCCCGGGAGACAUCGCAGCGCUACGAAGCCACCAUGCCCCGCACAUCUUUCGCCACCAGCCACAAGCUUCGAGCUUCUGA
rnacentral:rRNA from 1 species